ACACGUCUACAUUAGAUACCCCUGUAGUCCAGGGUGUAAACGCUGCAGACUUGGUGUUGGGAACCCUUCGGGGGUGCUCAGUGCCGGAGAGAAGUUGUUAAGUCUGCUACUUGGGGAGUACGUCCGCAAGGAUGAAACUUAAAGGAAUUGGCGGGGGAGCACCGCAACGGGAGGAGCGUGCGGUUUAAUUGGAUUCAACGCCGAAAAACUCACCAGCAGCGACUGUUACAUGAAAGUCAGGUUGAUGACCUUACUAGAUUUUCAG
rnacentral:rRNA from 1 species